rfam:Calocera viscosa TTFC12733 unplaced genomic scaffold CALVIscaffold_3, whole genome shotgun sequence.
GCCCUUUUAGCUCAGUGGUAGAGCGUUUGUCUUGUAUGCCCCUUCCAGGGAUGCAUCUAAUAACAAAAGGUCACAGGAUCAAUCCCUGUAGGGGGCA